AUUGAACGCUGGCGGCAUGCUUUACACAUGCAAGUCGAACGGCAGCACGGGGAGCUUGCUCCCUGGUGGCGAGUGGCGAACGGGUGAGUAAUAUAUCGGAACGUGUCCAAUAAUGGGGGAUAACUAGUCGAAAGAUUAGCUAAUACCGCAUACGCCCUGAGGGGGGAAAGUGGGGGAUCGUCAAGACCUCACGUUAAUGGAGCGGCCGAUAUCUGAUUAGCUAGUUGGUGGGGUAAAAGCCUACCAAGGCGACGAUCAGUAGCUGGUCUGAGAGGAUGAUCAGCCACACUGGGGACUGAGACACGGCCCAGACUCCUACGGAGCAGCAGUGGGGAAUUUUGGACAAUGGCGAAA
rnacentral:rRNA from 1 species